rnacentral:rRNA from 1 species
CCUACGGGAGGCUGCAGUGGGGAAUAUUGCACAAUGGGCGCAAGCCUGAUGCAGCCAUGCCGCGUGUGUGAAGAAGGCCCUCGGGUUGUAAAGCACUUUCAGCGGGGAGGAAGGCGGUGAGGUUAAUAACCUCAUCGAUUGACGUUACCCGCAGAAGAAGCACCGGCUAACUCCGUGCCAGCAGCCGCGGUAAUACGGAGGGUGCAAGCGUUAAUCGGAAUUACUGGGCGUAAAGCGCACGCAGGCGGUCUGUCAAGUCGGAUGUGAAAUCCCCGGGCUCAACCUGGGAACUGCAUUCGAAACUGGCAGGCUAGAGUCUUGUAGAGGGGGGUAGAAUUCCAGGUGUAGCGGUGAAAUGCGUAGAGAUCUGGAGGAAUACCGGUGGCGAAGGCGGCCCCCUGGACAAAGACUGACGCUCAGGUGCGAAAGCGUGGGGAGCAAACAGGAUUAGAUACCCCGGUAGUC